AUCUCAAAGUGAUGUACUAGAAAAUAAACCAAAGUAAGGAUCCAUGUACGUAAGGUACCAUGGUGAUCUCAGAUCAAAGGAUCACAUGCACCACUCUCACUGGAGAAUCAUCUGUCGACAUACUGUAAGGCUCCAUCAGAUAUUUUUCCUGCGGGUCAGUUUAGUAAACUCAUUCUCUAAUAAGCACCUACAUCCUUGUAUUAGUGUCACCACAUAAGUGAUUGUG
rnacentral:lncRNA from 1 species